CCUACGGGUGGCAGCAGUGGGGAAUAUUGGACAAUGGGCGAAAGCCUGAUCCAGCCAUGCCGCGUGUGUGAAGAAGGCCUUCGGGUUGUAAAGCACUUUCAGUGGGGAAGAAAGCCUUGGGGCUAAUACCCUCGAGGAAGGACAUCACCCACAGAAGAAGCACCGGCUAACUCCGUGCCAGCAGCCGCGGUAAUACGGAGGGUGCGAGCGUUAAUCGGAAUUACUGGGCGUAAAGCGCGCGUAGGCGGUCUGAUAAGCCGGUUGUGAAAGCCCUGGGCUCAACCUGGGAACGGCAUCCGGAACUGUCAGGCUAGAGUGCAGGAGAGGAAGGUAGAAUUCCCGGUGUAGCGGUGAAAUGCGUAGAGAUCGGGAGGAAUACCAGUGGCGAAGGCGGCCGUCUGGACUGACACUGACGCUGAGGUGCGAAAGCGUGGGUAGCAAACAGGAUUAGAUACCCCUGUAGUC
rnacentral:rRNA from 1 species